rnacentral:lncRNA from 1 species
GACAAAUAACUAAGAAAAAACCAUGGAAGAAAGAGCUUGAACCAGUUUCAGUUGCAUUUCUGCCUCUCACAAUAAAGGGAGCCUUGACUGAGACCCACUAAUAGAAAAUGGAGCAGAAAAUAAGAACUGACACUCAAACACAAAUGGCCAAUGAACAUGAAGAGAAGAAUCACUUUCCAUAAGGAAAUCCAAGAAGUGCCCAUUACAAUAAAUGCAUGCUAUUACGGAUUGAACUGUGUCCCCCUACUGAAAGGUAUGUUAAGUCCUCACCUCCUGUACCUAAGAACAUGGCCUUAUUUGGAAAUAGGGUGGUUGCAGAUUAACUAGUUAGAGUGAGACCAUACUGGAGUAGGCUGGGUCCUAAAUACAGAAUGCCUGGUGUCCUUAUAAGAAGAGAGGGAGGCCCCAGGAAAAGC